UUCCGAGCCAAGGUACUCAGUACGUGAAACCGCUUCGAGGCAAACGGGUGGGCCCUCGAAAGUCGAACGGCGGGGGGAUUCAGUCGGGAGGCAUGAGUGUGGGCGCUUCGCUGCCCGUGGUGGACCCUAGCGGGCCCCGGCGUGCGAUGGACGUCUCGUCUCCCGACGCACUUUCCCCUGCCCAGUAGUACGCUGCGACCGGUUGGGUUGCAUACAAGUGUCGGCCGUGAGGGUCGGACGCCGAAGGUGGCUGGUGGUGUGCUCUCCCGAGCCCUGCCAGUGUUACAUCUGACCGGCCCGGGCACGUCACCUGACCGAGGCACCAUGUGGCCCUGUGUGGGCCAGUCUGCACCCUCCAUGUCGGGAGCGGAUCUCCUGCCAGGGGUUCGACGUUCGGUUGUUCCGCGUGCUAGCGGGCGGCCGGGCUCGGGCAAUGGUGGGCGGGAAGAGUCCGUGCGGGUGCAGGAGGUCGGCAGCGAGUAGGUCGUCAUCCGCUACCCU
rnacentral:rRNA from 1 species